rnacentral:rRNA from 1 species
CAGCACCUCAAGUGGUCAGGAUGAUUAUUGGGCCUAAAGCAUCCGUAGCCGGCGCUGUAAGUUUUCGGUUAAAUCUGUACGCUCAACGUACAGGCUGCCGGGAAUACUGCAGCGCUAGGGAGUGGGAGAGGUAGACGGUACUCGGUAGGAAGGGGUAAAAUCCUUUGAUCUAUUGAAGACCACCUGUGGCGAAGGCGGUCUACCAGAACACGUCCGACGGUGAGGGAUGAAAGCUGGGGGAGCAAACCGGAUUAGAUACCCGAGUAGUCC